rnacentral:rRNA from 1 species
GACGAACGCUGGCGGCGUGCCUAAUACAUGCAAGUCGAGCGAAUCGACAGGUGCUUGCACCUGUUGGUUAGCGGCGGACGGGUGAGUAACACGUGGGCAACCUGCCUGUAAGACUGGGAUAACUUCGGGAAACCGGAGCUAAUACCGGAUAAUCCUUUUCCUCUCAUGAGGAAAAGCUGAAAGUCGGUUUACGCUGACACUUACAGAUGGGCCCGCGGCGCAUUAGCUAGUUGGUGAGGUAAAGGCUCACCAAGGCGACGAUGCGUAGCCGACCUGAGAGGGUGAUCGGCCACACUGGGACUGAGACACGGCCCAGACUCCUACGGGAGGCAGCAGUAGGGAAUCUUCCGCAAUGGACGAAAGUCUGACGGAGCAACGCCGCGUGAGCGAUGAAGGCCUUCGGGUCGUAAAGCUCUGUUGUUAGGGAAGAACAAGUAUCGGAGUAACUGCCGGUACCUUGACGGUACCUAACCAGAAAGCCACGGCUAACUACGUGCCAGCCGCCGCAGUAACAC